rnacentral:rRNA from 1 species
GAUGAACGCUGGCGGCGUGCCUAAUACAUGCAAGUCGAGCGAACAGACGAGGAGCUUGCUCCUCUGACGUUAGCGGCGGACGGGUGAGUAACACGUGGAUAACCUACCUAUAAGACUGGGAUAACUUCGGGAAACCGGAGCUAAUACCGGAUAAUAUAUUGAACCGCAUGGUUCAAUAGUGAAAGACGGUUUUGCUGUCACUUAUAGAUGGAUCCGCGCCGCAUUAGCUAGUUGGUAAGGUAACGGCUUACCAAGGCGACGAUGCGUAGCCGACCUGAGAGGGAGAUCGGCCACACGGGAACUGAGAAACGGGCCAGACUCCUACGGGAGGCAGCAGUAGGGAAUCUUCCGCAAUGGGCGAAAGCCUGACGGAGCAACGCCGCGUGAGUGAUGAAGGUCUUCGGAUCGUAAAACUCUGUUAUUAGGGAAGAACAAAUGUGUAAGUAACUAUGCACGUCUUGACGGUACCUAAUCAGAAAGCCACGGCUAACUACGUG